rnacentral:rRNA from 1 species
CCUACGGGAGGCAGCAGUAAGGAAUAUUGGUCAAUGGAGGCAACUCUGAACCAGCCAUGCCGCGUGCAGGAAGACUGCCCUAUGGGUUGUAAACUGCUUUUAUCCGGGAAUAAACCUGCUUACGUGUAAGUAGCUGAAUGUACCGGAAGAAUAAGGAUCGGCUAACUCCGUGCCAGCAGCCGCGGUAAUACGGAGGAUCCAAGCGUUAUCCGGAUUUAUUGGGUUUAAAGGGUGCGUAGGCGGCCUGUUAAGUCAGGGGUGAAAGACGGUAGCUCAACUAUCGCAGUGCCCUUGAUACUGAUGGGCUUGAAUGGACUAGAGGUAGGCGGAAUGAGACAAGUAGCGGUGAAAUGCAUAGAUAUGUCUCAGAACACCGAUUGCGAAGGCAGCUUACUAUGGUCUUAUUGACGCUGAGGCACGAAAGCGUGGGGAUCAAACAGGAUUAGAUACCCUGGUAGUCCACGCCCUAAACGAUGAACACUCGCUGUUGGCGAUACACAGUCAGCGGCUAAGCGAAAGCGUUAAAGUGUUCCAACCUGGGGGUAGGUUACGCCGCCGAGGUUAGGAACGUUAAAGUUAAGUUAGUAGGACGNGAGAGAGCGACGACGACGACGAGGAGGAGGAGG